ensembl:lncRNA
UCCCUGCUUCCCUGGAUACCCCACAGGCACAGCUGCUCCAUGCCUCUGGAAAAUCCUGCUCCUCCAGAGGAAAAUCCUGUUAUUUUAAGAGGAAAAUCUUGCUCCUUUAAGAGGAAUAUCCUGCUCUUUUAAAGAGGAAAUUCCUGCUCUUCCAAGAGGCAAAUCCUGUUCUUUUAGGAGGAAAAUCCUGCUCUUUUAACGAGGAAAUUCUGCUCCUUUAAAGGGAAAAUUCUGCUUUUCUAAGAGGAAAGUCCUGCUCCUCUAAAAGGAACAUCUUGCUUUUUUAGGAGGAAUAUCCAGUUCUUUUAGGAGGAAAAACCUGCUCUUCUAAGAGGAAACUCCUGCUCUUCCAAGAGGAAAAUCCUGCUCUUUUAGGAGGAACAUUCUAUUCUUUUAGGAGGAAAAUCCUGCUCUUUUAAAGAGGAAAUUCUGCUCCUUUAAGAGGAAAAUCCUGCUCUUCUAAAAGAAACAUCCUGUCUUUUAUGAGGAAAAUCCUGUUCUUUUAAAGAGGAAAUUCUGCUCCUUUAAGGAGAAAAUCCUGCUCCUCUAAAAGGAACAUCUUGCUUUUUUAGGUGGAAUAUCCAGUUCUUUUAGGAGGAAAAUCUGCUCCUCAAAGAGGAACAUCCUGUUCUUUUAAAAGGAAAAUCUUGCUCUUUUUAAAAGGAAAUUCUGCUCCUUUAAGAGGAAAUUCCUGCUCUUCCAAGAGGAAAAUCCUGUUUCUUUAAGAGGAAAAUCCUGCUCUUUUUAAAAGGAAAUUCUGCUCCUUUAAGGGGAAAAUCCUGCUCUUCUGAGAGGAACAUUCUGUUCUUUCAAGAGGAAAAUCCUGCUUUUUUAAAGAGGAAAUUCUGCUCCUUUAAAGGGAAAAUCCUGCUCUUCUAAAAGAAACAUCCUUCUCUUUGAAGAGGAAAUUCUGCUCCUUUAAGAGGAAACUCCUGCUCCUCUAAAAGGAACAUCUUGCUUUUUUAGGAGGAAUAUCUUGUUCUUUUAAGAGGAAAAUCCUGCUCUUUUAAGAGGAAAUUCCUGCUCUUCCAAGAGGCAAAUCCUGUUCUUUUAGGAGGAAAAUCCUGCUCUUUUAAAGAGGAAAUUCUGCUCCUUUAAGGGGAAAAUCCUGCUCUUCUAAGAGCAAAAUUCUGCUACUCUAAGAGGAACAUUCUGUUCUUUUAAGAGGAAAAUCCUGCUUUUUUAAAGAGGAAAUUCUGCUCCUUUAAAGGGAAAAUCCUGCUUUUCUAAGAGGAAAAUCCUGUUCUUUUAGGAGGAAAAUCCUACUCUUUUAAAGAGGAAAUUCUGCUCCUUUAAGGAGAAAAUCCUGCUCCUUUAAGAGGAACAUCCUGCUCUUUUAAGAGGAAAGUCCUGCUCUUCUAAAAGGAACAUCCUGCUCUUUUAGGAGGAAAAUCCUGCUACUCUAAAAGGAACAUCCUGUCUUUUAGGAGGAAAAUCCUGCUCUUUUAAAGAGGAAAUUCUGCUCCUUUAAGGAGGAAACCCUGCUCUUCUAAAAGGAACAUCUUUUAAGAGGAAACUCCUGUUUUUUAAGAGCCCACAGUGCCUGGAGCCCCCAGGCCACACUCACCCCGUUGGUGGCACUGGCAGUGACCCUGCAGACACCCCCUGUGCCCUCCUCC